rnacentral:rRNA from 1 species
CAUUAAUGGUUUUCAUUUAUUGGACGAUUAUCAGACAUUAUAAGGAAGAAGUAAAAUGUGAUCUCCACGUGACAUCGUGACACUGAAGGGAAGAGAUUCAAUCUCCUAGGCCGAGGGAAAAUAGUACGGAGCAACGACCGGAGUUUACAGUGUUCUCCCUUUUGAUGACAAAAAAAAGGAAAAAACUGUUGUCCCCUUCUUAACGACAUUAGAUUUCCUAUUAUAAACUAAUAGUCCUAAAGAUUUUAAUUUAAUAGUCCUUUCUUUCACUUAAAAGGGUCCUUAUGUAAACUACCGUAUGUUUUCGGGUUCAGACGUCGCCGCUCGGUGUGUGUGCUCCGUUUUCGGGUCCGGACGUAGCCGCUGUUUCAGUUAGUAGGGAGUUUUUUUUUGCGUUAGCCCCUGCGAGGCACUGUGCUUUCCUGUGGCUCUAGGUGCAGUGGUGGACGGGGAGAAAUAGGUGGUGCCUAAAGAAUUUUUAUUUGUCGCCUCUUAUUUUUUCUCCUCUCCUCUCCCCUCUUCUUCUUGUGGGCAGCUAGGGUGGGUGUGGGUGGGGGCCGGAGCGCUAGGAGGGGAGGGAACCCGUCCGGCUUAGGCCUGGGGGGUUGCGCGCGUCGCCCUGCUCCUGGCUGCCCGCCCCGUGUCUCUCCGGCCCCCACUACUUAACAAUGCGACGUACCUGCCUCGUUAGCUCCUCGGAGAGGUGUUCCUGAUAAUGUUUCAAGACCUCCAGCUAAUGCUACGUAGACUGCUGUUGUAGUUUGACUUAAUAUCUUCUAAUCGCAACUUCACCGUGGGGCUGUUCGUAUUCCCGCUCCUACUACAGUGUCGAUUUAAAGUCCUCUAGUUGCUCCGAAUGUUUUAAAAUUCACUAGGUUAAUGUGCCGAACUCAUGCUGAAAAGACCGACAAUGCUCCAGUUAGUUAUAUGACGUGCACUCAUGGAAAGUUCUAAAUUCCCUUACUAUGAAUGGACGUUACCGGAACCGUAUCUCGUAAGAAGUUUUACCCGCGCUGUGAACUCCCUUACCCUCGGGGUAACUAGUUAUCCAUGUCGUACAAAUAAGGACUUGAACAAGUCAUCGCAGAGACUACCGCUAACCCGUACAUAAAACAAGAAGACAUUGAGGCGUUACCUUGGACAGUACACGGGAACGUGAACACGAUCUUUCUCUAUGUACAAACGAUAAAGGUAGGCAGUAGACCAAUAAAUGAGAGACUGAACAGUGUUCGUACCAUCAUUAUCAAGGAAAAGUCGUAUCUGGUGUCGAUUCUUAUUUCUCUUUAUACAAAGAAAGUUGCUUUCUCUUAUUGCAUAGCACAUGAGUUCAUACACAUGGACUAUCUUGUUGUCUUUUCCUUCAAAAGCCCACUAACACGGCAGUCUUUUAGACACUAUUCGAUUUACGGCUAUUUACUCGCAACUAGUAGUUCGAUAGGUGCUUUCAGCGGGUGGUCCUUCCGUAUCUCUGUGGAUCUACUGUGUAUUCUUAUUCAUGUUGUC